AAGUCGUAACAAGGUUUCCGUAGGUGAACCUGCGGAAGGAUCAUUAGUGAUUUUAAACCAUGGCCGAGAGGCUGGGGCGCGCAAGAGGGUUGCCUUUCGAGGUGCUGCUCGGCCGUCCGAAUAUCUAACCAAAAACAAACUGUGCACGCCCUCGGGCAUUACAAACCAUUAGUAAUGAAUGUAAAACAAACAAGUUAAUACAACUUUCAACAACGGAUCUCUUGGCUCUCGCAUCGAUGAAGAACGCAGCGAAUUGCGAAAAGUAAUGUGAAUUGCAGAAUUCAGUGAAUCAUCGAAUCUUUGAACGCACCUUGCACCCUUUGGUAUUCCGAAGGGUAUGCCUGUCUGAGUGUCAUUAGACCAUCUCUCAUAUCCGUUUCGGACAAGAGAGCUUUGGGGGUCUGCCUGUCUUAUCCGGCUCCCCUUAAAUGCCUUAGUGAAUUAUCGAUCCAAGUUGCUUGAUCUUUCACUCUAAUACAAACACUCUUGAUUUGACCUCAGAUCAGGUAGGACUACCCGCUGAACUUAA
rnacentral:rRNA from 1 species